CAAAGCACUGUGCCUGAGAGAUCCUGGCUCCUGCAACUCCCGGAUAUUGGAAAGGGGGUAGGGAUGGGCAAAGGAAAAGCAACCGUACUUCCGGGGACUCCUUUGUGCCUUCUUUUCAAAAGCUCCAUGGUCUGGAAGCAGUAACACCUCAGGAGCAGUACCUCAUGAACACAACCAAGACCCAAUACUAUUUCCCACAAAAAGGGAGAUUUCCUCUGGGACUCUUCCAAUGUCUAAGCAGGUUGCCAGUUGGAUCCAGAGAUUUGAUUCUUUUGAAGACUAUAUGUUCUUUCAUAAGAAGCCACCUAUUGUGAUGUUA